UACGUAGGGUGCAAGCGUUGUCCGGAAUUAUUGGGCGUAAAGAGCUCGUAGGCGGUCUGUCGCGUCGGCUGUGAAAACCCGGAGCUCAACUCCGGGCCUGCAGUCGAUACGGGCAGACUGGAGUACUGCAGGGGAGACUGGAAUUCCUGGUGUAGCGGUGAAAUGCGCAGAUAUCAGGAGGAACACCGGUGGCGAAGGCGGGUCUCUGGGCAGUAACUGACGCUGAGGAGCGAAAGCGUGGGGAGCGAACAGG
rnacentral:rRNA from 1 species